UUUAUCAGAUAAGAUACUGACACCUGCAGAAAAACGAAAAGAAGAGUACUCCCUCUCUCUCCUCUCGAUCUCUCUAUGUAUUCUCUCUCCUUCCGUUCUCUCUGUAAAUUCUCUCUUCUCCCGCUCUGUCUCUGCAUGCUCUCCGCCCGCUCUGUCUCUAUGGCCAAGUUCUCUACAUAUUCCCUCUCCUUUCUCUGUAUAUUCUCUCGCCUUCGCAGACCCGCAGAUCUCGUACCUUGCUGCUACCAUUUGUCCCUGCUACUCAAACCCUUGGGCACACAAAGCUCUCUCCCAUUCAAGGUAUGUUAACCCUCUCUUUCUCUCUCUGGUUUUUCUAUUUUUAUCUCUCCCUUUGGUUUUCAUUCUUUUCAAGUACAAAACCCCCAACGCCCCAAAGAACAACACCCAAUCUGAGCAUUUUUGCCAUGAAUAUCCCAAAUACUGAGCAAAAUCUAGGCAAAAAUAUGGUUAUUUCUCUGUAGAAUUUUUCGCUUAGAUUUUUUUGUAGCAAUUUUUGCCUAGAUUUUUGUUUUCAUUUUUAUUUCUUGAAUAUCCUGAAUGCUAAGCAAAACCAUGUGUAUAUAUGGUUCUUUCUCUGUAGCAUUUUUAUCUCUGAUUUUUUUAUAGCAUUUUUUCCCAGAUUUUUGCUUUCAUUUUUAAAGCAUUUUUGCCCAGAUUUUGCCCAGUAUUGGAAUACUGAUGCAAUACUAUUUAUAUGUGUAAAAAUGUAAAAGUUGGUGAAAAUGCCCUCUCUUUGUCUGAUAUAUAAAACUGGACAGCGCUGAUUUAAACCAAUCUGUGUCUUCAUCUUUCAAAAGCUUAAAACUAAGAUAAGAAGUGGUGAGAUUUUAUUGGAUGGAAAUAUAUGACCAUCGCAAUGUGGUUGUAAGACUUCUGAUUCGUUCUAAUUAAUAUGUGUAGGCUAGAAAGGAAAAGCACACUACAGUGAUGAGAUUUUUACCUUUUUUACCUUAACUCCAAAAUUAUUUCAGACAACCUACUUUAUCUCUUUGGGGCAUGAGUUGAAAACAGUUCUUUAAAUUUCUGUUAGAAAGGUAAAGUAAAAGCGGCAAGAAUAUAUCAGAAUAUGAUCAUUUGAUAUAUCUUAAUAUGCUCAUAUGAAACUUUCUUAUGCUUUUGGACUCUUAUAGCAGCUUUAGGUUUGAUAAAGUAGUGUAUGUUAGCAAUUUGAUAUCGUUUAUUUGGCAAACAUAUAGUUUUUAACCUUGUGUAUAUAUUGUAGUAUGACUUACACUCAUAUUUAAGGGCCUACAUGGUUGUUGAUUAUUUGGCCUGUAGAAAUUCCAAGUUUAACUGAUGCGUAUGUAUUAUGUUUGGAGCUUGAAAUAAGUGGAGUUAAUGUUUCUUAGCCUAUGCAUUAUGUUUGGAGCUUGAAAUGAGUGGAGUCGAUGUUUAUUGCCUAGACUUUUUUAUAGCAAUUUUCUUUCGUUUUCUUGCAAACAUAUGGUUUUUAACCCUAUGUAUAUAUGGUAGCAUGACUUACACUCAUAUUUAAGGGCCUACAUGGUUCUUGAUUAUUUGACCUGCUGAAAUUCCAAGGAUAACUGAUGCCUAUAUAUUAUGUUUGGAGCUUGAAAUGAGUAGAGUCAAUGUUUCUUGCCCAUAUUUUUUUAUAGCAAUUUGCUUUCAGUUUUUUGGCAAAUAUACGGUUUGGAGUAUUCUUAUGAUGAAGGUUUAAAUACAUGUAUUUUUGUAGUUCGCAGUUUCACGUUGGGUAAGUCAAAAAAAUGAGAUGGAUCCCACGAAUUCAGUCGGUGUGGCAUCUAGCACAUAAGCAAAUGUAGGCAGUAUUGAUGAAAUCUCGGAUGGUAGUUGUGGCUCACCAAACGAGAGUCACGAAAUAGAAGAACCAUGUAUAGGAAUGAUGUUUGGAUCAGAGGAUGAUGCAUAUGAGUUCUUUAAGUUUUAUGCAUUCACCAAAGGUUUUGGUAUUUGUAGGGGGAGUACUCAUAUCAAGAAAGGUAAUCGGAUCGAUAGGGUUUAUGUUUGCUGCAAGGAAGGCUUUAAACAAGAAAAACCUAAUAAAAGUGGAAAGGUUUACCCUGAGUUAAGGUGUGAGUGCAAGGUUAGGAUGUGCAUAAGUUGUAUAGAAAAUGACGAGUGGAAAGUGACUAGCAUUUAUAUAUAUCAUAAUCAUGAUCUAGUUAGUCCAAGAAAAGCUCGUCUAAUUCGUACGCAUCGAUCAUUGUCGAGUGCUACAAAGUCAUUGAUACAUUCAAUGAGCUCGACAAUGGUUAAGCCUAGACAUACUCAUGACAUAUUCAUAGAGCAGGCUGGAGGGAUCGACAAUGUCCCUUAUACAUAAAGGGAUAUUUAAAAUGAAAUAGCAAGCGCUAGAAAAAAACUUAGAGGAGAAGAUGGCAAUUUAAUUUUGCAAUGGCUCUAUAAAAAGAACUAAUUGAACCCAUCAUUUUUUAUAGAUUGAGAUUAGAUGAAGAGAAUCACAUUCACAGUAUCUUAUGGGUUGAUUCUACAUCUGGAGUUUCCUAUCAGUGCUUCUCUGAUGUGGUUACCUUUGAUUCCACAUACAAGACAAAUGUGUUUGGUAUAUCCUUUGCACCUAUACUUGGUGCAAAUCAACAUUUCAGUACAAGUUUAUUUAGGUUUGCACUCAUAUUUGACAAAAAGAUAGAAUCAUUUAUAUGGGUAUUUGAAAACUAGUUGGAAGCCAUGGGUGGACGACAACUAGAUGUCAUUCUCAUUGAUCAAGAUCCUGCAAUUUCAUAUGCAGUGAGGCAAUUUCUUUACAAAGUAAGCAUUAUUAUUGUAGAAGAUCAAAGAAAAAAUGUGUCAUGUCUUGCAUAUGCAUCGUUCUUAUUCGUAUACCUUUAGGAAGUGUGUGGCUAACCCAACAAUAGAAGAAUUUGAAUCGGCUUAGAAAUCAAUGAUUGAUAAUUAUAACCUGGAAGACAAUGAAUGACUGAGGAGGCUUUAUGGUUGUCGCAUGCAAUGGGUUGAUGCAUACUUGGCUGACACGUUCACUGCGGGUAUGACUUCUACUCAAAGGAGUGAAGGGAUGAAUACGCUGUUCAAGAUGUAUUUGACACCCACAACAAGCUUGCGUGCAUUAUUAGAAGUUGUUGCAAAAGUCAACGAUAAGAAGGUAUGAUAAGAGAGGGAAAAUGGCUUGAAAGAUAUUCAAACUACUCCAGUCUUGCGAACAAUCACUUUUAUUGAGACAUAUGCAUAAAAAAUCUAUACUUAAAAGAUUUUAAAGAUAUUUGGGGAAGAAGUGACUAAUUGCUUUAAUUUUACGAGGGAGAUAGUUGAAGACAAUGGACAGGUUGCAACCUUUAAGGUGGCAGUCCUAGGGACCGAAACUAAAUCCUACUUAGUGAAAUUCAAUUGCCAUGACAAUUCCAUUUCUUGCACUUGUCACUUCUUUGAGAGGAUUAGCCUUCUUUGUAGGCAUGUCCUGAAGAUUUUUAUGGUUAAAGAUGUGUUUGAAAUCCCACCACAAUAUAUAAUGAAGCGUUGGACCAAGGAUAUAAAGAAGAGAGUUUUUCUUGAUGACAUUGGGGAACAAAUUCAAGUAACAUCUGAACUACCACACUCCAUUAGAUAUAAUGAGGUUAUGUAAGCAAGUCGAUCCUUUGCCGAGCGUGCUUCACAAAAUGUAGAGGGUUAUCAGUUUGUAAUGUUCAUAAUAAAAAAUGGAAUUCAUCAGUUUGAUGAAAUGUUCAUGUGCAAGCGAGGUCCACAUGAUAAUGCCGUGAUCCAUGUCAAUGACGAUGCCAAUUCUGCUAGUUGUAGUAACACACCAAGUGGAAGUAAUCAUUGUCCUAAUGUCCUUGAACCUGCACGAGCAUUGACAAAGGGACGACCGGCCACUAAAAGAAUGAAAGCUCAGUCUGAGGGAUGGAAGCCGAAAAAAAGGAAAUGCGCAGUAUGCAAUGGAAGUGGACAUGACAAAAGGAAUUGCCUGUCGUUUGUUUCUGAUAGGUACAACUUCAUUCAUUUACAUUAUUUUAUUUGCAAUUGUAUUAUCCUCAUUAUUGUUGAUGUAUUUGAUUUACACUUGUAUUAGCUUUAAUUUAAUUGCUAACAUUCCUCUUACAACGCUAAGGACAAAACACAUCGUACACUUCGGAUCAAUAAGAAGUGAGUUGAUGGUAAGAUUCACUCCCAUCAAAUCCAUCCAUACAGGAGUGGUAACUAGUGAAGUGUUGGAGUUGUUGUGUUAACAUGUCGUAUGCUUAUUUGAAUUUUUUUUUUUUAAAGAACCGUCUAAUGGGAUUAGUAUCCAUCAAAGUAUAUUUAAAAAUUGAAUUUGACUUGCAGCUUGGUUGAUUUAAAGUUUGACUUAGGAUCUGCUUUUGUCAUCUUAGCAUCUGCUAUUCAUAAAUCGAGAAGAUAUGAAUUCCUUGAAGAUCUUGUGCCGCAGAAAGUGAAAGCAAGCUGCAGAUGCUUUAAUUCCUUCUCUUUCUAUGCAAUGUGUUGUGUGCUGAAGAUUUUUUUGUUGCGUGUGUGUACUUAUUUUUCAUAUAUGGAUGGGAAUGAAUUCUAGAAUGUGUAUGGCUUUUCCUUACUUGCUUUCCCUACUGAGGAUUGCUAGUGGUUCUUGCUGCUAGUCCAUGUAGAACAUAUUCUGUCUCUCUCUCUCUCUCUCUCUUUAAUGUCUUGGUGGUUCCUGAUAUGGAGCUCUUUGCAUUUGGAUUUCUUAAGCAUGAUAGUUUCAUAAGUUUAAUAGGGAAGUAGUUGGUAUACAUCAAAACCAUUUAUUAGUUGGUGAACCUUCUAACGAGUUCUACACCUGAGAAUUUCAUGAAUCCUGUAACAAGAGAGAAGAACUAUAAUGCUUUGGACUACAAGGAGGUGGCUUGCAUUUGUGAGAAGUUCAAGGAUUCACCAGACAGGCUGUUGGGGAGCUUGGCAAGCCAGAAUUCGAAGCAAACUUCACAAAAGGGGUCAAUGGAUGCGUUGAAGUAAUUGAAGGACCUCAGUUGAUGAAUUUGCCAGGAGGAAGGAUGGCCUUAGAGGAUCCUUAAAGUUCAUUUAUUUUUAUUUACUUUUAUACCCUUUUGAAAUAGAUAUGUUUUUUGUAUGUAGGAAUUUUUUGCAUUGGACUGCCAUUGUUAUUUGUUUAUUUAUGGGAAAUCUGGAUGCUUUCCUGAGUAGUGUUGACCAUGUUUUGACAUGUUAAUUCAGUGGUGCAAUUGGACGUGUA